UCAAAAGUCCAAUCUCUCUGCUCUG
rnacentral:piRNA from 1 species